rnacentral:rRNA from 1 species
AGUCGAACGGUGAAAGCGGAGCUUGCUCUGCUGGAUCAGUGGCGAACGGGUGAGUAACACGUGAGCAAUCUGCCCCUGACUCUGGGAUAAGCGCUGGAAACGGCGUCUAAUACCGGAUACGAGCUGCGAAGGCAUCUUCAGCAGCUGGAAAGAACUUCGGUCAGGGAUGAGCUCGCGGCCUAUCAGCUAGUUGGUGAGGUAACGGCUCACCAAGGCGUCGACGGGUAGCCGGCCUGAGAGGGUGACCGGCCACACUGGGACUGAGACACGGCCCAGACUCCUACGGGAGGCAGCAGUGGGGAAUAUUGCACAAUGGGCGAAAGCCUGAUGCAGCAACGCCGCGUGAGGGACGACGGCCUUCGGGUUGUAAACCUCUUUUAGCAGGGAAGAAGCGAAAGUGACGGUACCUGCAGAAAAAGCGCCGGCUAACUACGUGCCAGCAGCCGCGGUAAUACGUAGGGCGCAAGCGUUAUCCGGAAUUAUUGGGCGUAAAGAGCUCGUAGGCGGUUUGUCGCGUCUGCUGUGAAAACCCGAGGCUCAACCUCGGGCCUGCAGUGGGUACGGGCAGACUAGAGUGCGGUAGGGGAGAUUGGAAUUCCUGGUGUAGCGGUGGAAUGCGCAGAUAUCAGGAGGAACACCGAUGGCGAAGGCAGAUCUCUGGGCCGUAACUGACGCUGAGGAGCGAAAGGGUGGGGAGCAAACAGGCUUAGAUACCCUGGUAGUCCACCCCGUAAACGUUGGGAACUAGUUGUGGGGACCAUUCCACGGUCUCCGUGACGCAGCUAACGCAUU